rnacentral:rRNA from 1 species
GACGAACGCUGGCGGCGUGCUUAACACAUGCAAGUCGAACGGAAAGGCCCUGCUUUUGUGGGGUGCUCGAGUGGCGAACGGGUGAGUAACACGUGAGUAACCUGCCCUUGACUUUGGGAUAACUUCAGGAAACUGGGGCUAAUACCGGAUAGGAGCUCCUGCUGCAUGGUGGGGGUUGGAAAGUUUCGGCGGUUGGGGAUGGACUCGCGGCUUAUCAGCUUGUUGGUGGGGUAGUGGCUUACCAAGGCUUUGACGGGUAGCCGGCCUGAGAGGGUGACCGGCCACAUUGGGACUGAGAUACGGCCCAGACUCCUACGGGAGGCAACAGUGGGGAAUAUUCACAAUGGGCGGAAGCCUGAUGCAGCAACGCCGCGUGCGGGAUGACGGCCUUCGGGUUGUAAACCGCUUUCGCCUGUGACGAAGCGUGAGUGACGGUAAUGGGUAAAGAAGCACCGGCUAACUACGUG